AGCGAACGCUGGCGGCAGGCCUAACACAUGCAAGUCGAGCGCCCGUAGCGAUACGGGAGCGGCAGACGGGAGAGUAACACGUGGGAACGUACCCUUUGGUUCGGAACAACACAGGGAAACUUGUGCUAAUACCGGAUACGUCCGUAAGGAGAAAGAUUUAUCGCCGAAGGAUUGGCCCGCGUCCGAUUAGCUAGUUGGUGGGGUAAAGCCCACCAAGGCGACGAUCGGUAGCUGGUCUGAGAGGAUGAUCAGCCACACUGGGACUGAGACACGGCCCAGACUCCUACGGGAGGCAGCAGUGGGGAAUUUUGGACAAGUGGGGGGAACCCUGAUCCAGCCAUGCCGCGUGCGGGAAGAGGGCC
rnacentral:rRNA from 1 species